UUCGUCCAUGGAAAAGGCAGCGCCAGUCGAACUCGACGUCCAGCAGAUGAAAACCAACAGCAAAACAACUUGGGGCUUGGAAGAGUGUACACAAAACUGUAAAUGGAGAAGGACACUUGCCGAAAAUGUGACAACACCAACACCGUCUAGUUCGAUAACACUUGAAUUUCUACAUUCGAUUCUUUCUGAUGCCUUUCGAUUCUUUUUUUCGGCAAUUCUUUCUGAUGCCCAUGUAACAGCUUUUGGUCCACUCACUCCAUCGUUGAUGAUUAAGACAUUGGCGCAAAGUGAAAAUCGUAAAAAUAUGUAGGCGAAUCCAAGCUGAAAAAUAUUUACUUUGCACCGACUGUUAUACAGUCAUGCGUGAAAGCAGCGGAGUUGAGAGUUGAGUCGUUCCAUCUGAGGAAUGGAAAAGCAGAUUAAACAAGUUGGAGAUCUUUAACACUAGGAUCAGCAGUACCCGGGGUUUCGAAAGUCGGCUGGCGGUUGGAUGGGGCAAUGUCCCCGUCCAAUCGAAAGCAAAGAUAGUCGUUCCGCUCAGUCGUUCAUUUGGGACAAACAAGAGGACAUCUGGCGUCCAGAUUUAUCUUCAGUUGUUGGGCGCAGGCUAGGUAGCCGUUUAGCCCCUACCUUCUUCAUAGUUCUUUUUUUGAAGCGUUGCUUCGAGAGUAGGCCUAAUAAGGGACGCCAUUAUCCUUCGAUUGGGGUUUCGAUUCGAUGUUAGCUGUAUAUUUGUUGGCAGAUUGAUUGUUUAGAAUUUGUGAAUUGUGAUGUCUAACAGUUGGAUCGGGUUGGCGGACGGUGGGUGCUUGCAACUAUUUUGGUAAUCUUGGUAUAUUAUUCUUGGUACGAAUCUUGAAGCUUAAGAUUUUGAAACCGUGCUGUCCACCACGUCGUCUACGUCCAGAAGAUGAGUAACAUUAUACAUACAAUGUUCUGAAAGGUCGAUUAAACUGAUGAAAUUUAGGAUAGUAUUGAGAUUUUUUUUGUUUGAUUGCAGGCACCUUCAGUAUAUGGAGCUUCACUCAUCCUAUCAUGUAGUCUGCAUCUCAUUUACCUUUGCUGUUAAAGUCAACAUGUACCCUAAUUGAAGGCAGGAAGACGAAUUUUGAUGCUGAAAGACUUGGAAUCCAUGCUGUCGACCACGUCGAGAAGCUGAGUAACAUUCUGCUUUUACAAUGGCACCUCUUAAUGAAAGAAACUUGAGCCAUCCAAUCUAGGGCUUCCAUCAAAUCGUGCAGGCUGCAUGGAAGUCGCAUUUAUCUUUGUUGUGAACAUCAUGCACACAUACACUAUUUGAAGGUUCAUGUUUACGUAGCAGUGGUGUUGCUGUCCAAUGUGGUGUGUUGUUGCAGCCUAUGGUGGUGAAAGAUAUCUGCAUCAAGUUGCUGUUCCUUGUGCAUCCGAGGUGCUGCUUUUGUGCUACAGAAGUGACAUCCAAUAUUGUGUUUAAUUGCUAUUUGUGUCUUCGCAGUUUACCUUUAUAUAUUGAGAAGGAACAAAAAAAAAUAGUAAUAUGAGGAGGCUUAUGUCAAACAAAUAAUAAACAUGUCCAGGAUGGGGGAAUGUGGAGGAAGUUGGGGUGGGGUAUUUGGUUAUGACUUACUAAGAGAAGUGAGAUAUAUUUUUAAUGAAAAUGCAGUACUUGGUGAUAAAAUCUGUUGUUAACCUUUUCCUUCCCGUCAACCUAUACCUUCCACUUACACAUCCAUUCCUCAAACCCCAUUAGCACCAACAUUAAAUCCCACAUCCAUUUCUAAAACCCCACAAUCUCCAACAUCAAAUUUACACAAUUGUUGUAUAUCUAUAAUCAUAAAAAUAAAUAAAACCCAUUGUAUAAAGUUGUG
rnacentral:lncRNA from 1 species